GUGGGUAUAGCUCAGUGGUGAGGCCCAUGCUUAGCAUGUAAGAGGUGCUGGGUUCAAUCCCCAGUACCUCCA
rnacentral:tRNA from 1 species